UACGUAGGGUGCAAGCGUUGUUCGGACUUACUGGUCGUAAGGGGCUCGUAGGCGGCCAACUAAGUCCGACGUGAAAUCCCCAGGCUUAACCUGGGAACUGCGUCGGAUACUGGAUGGCUUGAAUCCGGGAGAGGGAUGCGGAAUUCCAGGUGUAGCGGUGAAAUGCGUAGAUAUCUGGAGGAACACCGGUGGCGAAGGCGGCAUCCUGGACCGGCAUUGACGCUGAGGAGCGAAAGCCAGGGGAGCAAACGGG
rnacentral:rRNA from 1 species